GUUUCUUUUUCCUGUUUGCCGUCCGAACGAUGAAUUUGUUUUAGUCUCAGGAGAAGCUUACGAGGGAAGCCAUAAAGCACGCGCUGAAGGCAUUAAGGAAACGCCAUUUGCUUGAAGAAGGCGCUCAUGCUCCUGCUUGUAUUGCUCUUUCAAGACCGAUUAUCGCUCAGGGCUCAGAAUGGAAGGAGAAAGCAGAAAAACUCGAAUUGGAACUUCAGCAAUUUUACAAAGCUCAAUCUCGAUUAUCCGAGCAACUUGUGGUGGAGGUAGCAGAGUCCAGAGCAUCAAAAGCUGCCUUAGAAGAAAAAGAAGCAGCAUUCACUGAUUUGCAAAAGGAGUUGGCUCAAACAAUGUUGCCUUCUAUGUUUUAGCCUGCUAGGGAGAUACUUAUGAGGUUUUAUGGUGUCAAGAAAUAUUUAAACAUUGUUUUUGUGCUGCAGUGAUGAAUGCUCUCAAUUAAAGGCAGCUUUGGAAGAAAAGAUUAAGGCUUUAGAAUUGGUUGUGAGUGAGAAUCACUCACUUCGAAAGCAAUUAGAACAGAUGACUGUCAAGGCUAAGAAUGCAGAAGCAGAAAAUAAGAUGUUAGUUGAUCGCUGGAUGCUGCAAAAGAUGCAGGAUGCUGAACGUCUUAAUGAGGUGCUUUUUGUCUUAUUAUAAUUGAAAUGAAAGUGUGGAAGAGAUUUAAUUGGUAUGCUGACCGUCUUAAUCUUUUAGUCCUAAAUUUGUCUUCCUUUUUUUUGUGUAACACUUCAUAGAGAAAAUUCUUCUUAAGCUGUUAUAAUGAACUAGUAAUUCUAUGAAAUCUAAAUAUGUUCUUGAAGGGCUUUUCUGAAAGGUUUUUUUAAUGUCUUCCCUUCAUAAAUCCAUUGGUCACUAAGAGAAUUUGCAUGGAGAUACUCUCCUUAUAUCAUUUAUGUACCAUGCAGGGAAGGUAGUUAACUUUGUACCGUUUAUUUUGUCAUCUUGCCUGCACAUUAAGUACCAGAGCGUUGUACGUUAGUUUUGUUCAUAUUAUUGGGUAUUGCAUUUCGAGUGUUGUAACAUAAUUGUCUCACUUAUCUGUCGUUGCAGACUGAUCUUAUUGUUGCCAAAGCAUUAUUCAGUUGUAUGCUGAAGUUUAUAUAGUUUGUUUUAAGUUCUUAAUGUUGGUUUUUGUGGGCUUAUAUUUAAAUUAUUUUUUCCUCUGUUACUUAUGGUAUAUAUGUGGCUGACUAUUGAUUCCAUAUUUAAAUUAUUUUUUCCUCUGUUACUUAUGGUAUAUAUGUGGCUGACUAUUGAUUCC
rnacentral:misc_RNA from 1 species